rnacentral:rRNA from 1 species
GACGAACCGUGCGAACGUUAUUCGGAAUCACUGGGCUUAAAGCGCGUGUAGGCGGGUCGGUGCGUCGGCCGCUGAAAUCCCCCGGCUCAACCGGGGAACGGCCGCGGAUACUGGAGGUCUCGAGGGAGGUAGGGGCAUGCGGAACUACGGAUGGAGCGGUGAAAUGCGUUGAUAUCCGUAGGAACUCCGGUGGCGAAGGCGGCGUGCUGGACCUCUUCUGACGCUGAGGCGCGAAAGCCAGGGGAGCGAACGGG